CGCGGCCUAUCAGCUUGUUGGUGAGGUAAUGGCUCACCAAGGCAUCGACGGGUAGCUGGUCUGAGAGGACGAUCAGCCACACUGGGACUGAGACACGGCCCAGACUCCUACGGGAGGCAGCAGUAGGGAAUCUUGCGCAAUGGGGGAAACCCUGACGCAGCAACGCCGCGUGUGGGAUGACGGCUUUCGGGUUGUAAACUACUUUCAGUGAUGACGAAAAUGACGGUAAUCACAGAAGAAGGUCCGGCCAACUACGUGCCAGCAGCCGCGGUAACACGUAGGGACCGAGCGUUGUCCGGAUUUAUUGGGCGUAAAGAGCUCGUAGGCGGUUCUGUAAGUCGGAUGUGAAAACUCAGGGCUCAACCCUGAGACGCCAUCUGAUACUGCAGUGACUAGAGUCCGGUAGAGGAAGAUGGAAUUCCUGGUGUAGCGGUGGAAUGCGCAGAUAUCAGGAGGAACACCAAUGGCGAAGGCAGUCUUCUGGGCCGGUACUGACGCUGAGGAGCGAAAGCAUGGGGAGCAAACAGGAUUAGAUACCCUGGUAGUCCAUGCCGUAAACGUUGGGCACUAGGUGUGGGGUCUUCUAACGGAUUCCGGGCCGUAGCUAACGCAUUAAGUGCCCCGCCUGGGGAGUACGG
rnacentral:rRNA from 1 species